GGGGUCAAAGGAGGCGACUCCGGCAUAGGAUGGCCAUGCGUCGCAUUAGCUAGUCGGCGGGGUAACGGCCCACCGAGGCGACGAUGCGUAGGGGUUCUGAGAGGAAGGUCCCCCACACUGGUACUGAGACACGGACCAGACUCCUACGGGAGGCAGCAG
rnacentral:rRNA from 1 species